rnacentral:tRNA from 1 species
GCUAGAGUAGCUCAGUGGCAGAGCAAUCGUUUCAUAAGCGAUCGGCCGUCGGUUCGAAUCCGACCUCUAGCA